rnacentral:rRNA from 1 species
GAUGAACGCUGGCGGCGUGCCUAAUACAUGCAAGUCGAGCGAACAGACGAGGAGCUUGCUCCUCUGACGUUAGCGGCGGACGGGUGAGUAACACGUGGAUAACCUACCUAUAAGACUGGGAUAACUUCGGGAAACCGGAGCUAAUACCGGAUAAUAUAUUGAACCGCAUGGUUCAAUAGUGAAAGACGGUUUUGCUGUCACUUAUAGAUGGAUCCGCGCCGCAUUAGCUAGUUGGUAGGGUAACGGCUUACCAAGGCAACGAUGCGUAGCCGACCUGAGAGGGUGAUCGGCCACACUGGAACUGAGACACGGUCCAGACGCCUGCGGGAGGCAGCAGUAGGGAAUCUUCCGCAAUGGGCGAAAGCCUGACGGAGCAACGCCGCGUGAGUGAUGAAGGUCUUCGGAUCGUAAAACUCUGUUAUUAGGGAAGAACAAAUGUGUAAGUAACUAUGCACGUCUUGACGGUACCUAAUCAGAAAGCCACGGCUAACUACGUG